CCCCAAUAAAACAAACUGCUUCAGAACCCCAAAGAGGAUGAAGCAACAAUAAAAAGAACUUACAAAGGUUCAUAUAACCAAAACAAAAAACUAGUCACAAAAAAUGCAAAACAAAAGAAGUACUAAGAGAAAAGCAAUAAAAUUAUCAGAAAGAAGCACUCCUUGCUUAGCUUGAUUAUCCGCAAAAACAUUAGCCUCACGAGGGAUGUGUUUAACCAGCAGAGCUGGAAGAUGACUCUUGCAUUCAAUGAUAGAGUUGACCACUGAAGAGAGCCUCCAAGGAGCAGACUCCAAGUUAUGAAACCAAGAAACAGCAUUCAUCGGAUCUGAUUCAAUGAGGAUGGAGCUAACUGAAAAAAGAUCUCCUACUUGCUGACACUAACUUCAAGAGCCUCUGAGAUAACUAAAAGUUAUGCAGCAUUUGAGUCAAUGAUAACAACAAAACAAGAAAAUAGGCAGAUGAUAUUCCCAAACGAGUCCCUCAAUACACCACAAAUACCUGACCUCCCUGGUUUUCCGAUUGAAGAACCGUCAACAUUCCAUUUAAAGGAAUCGGACGGCAGAGGAGACCAGGAAACAGCAGGCCUCGAUCUCACUUGAUUUUUCCAGCACUUGACAGCAUCUACAGUGACCAAAAGAUUAGCUCCUGAGAAGGGGAAUGAUGCAUCCAAAGCUCUCAUCUAGGUAGCCACUCGGAAUAAAAUGAGUGAGCAUAAAGAAAUGGUGUCCGUCUCCUUGCUAUUAAAAACCAUAUCAUUACGUGAUAACCAUAGGGACCAUACAAUUGCAUAAAAUAAGUUGAGCCAGAAUUUACGCUGAAAGUUCCCAUAAUAAAGAGAGUUCCACUCAUUCAAAAGCGCAUCCACAGUUUUAGGAAGACAAAAUUUCAGAUCCCACCAGCUAAAAAACCAGUUCCACACUGUCCAGGAAUGAUAACAAUGGAGGAAGAGAUACGAGACAGAUUCCGAAGCAUCAGAACAGAGGGGAAAACCACUCUGCGAAGGGGAAAUGAUGUUAAUUGAGCUUAAUCGCCCUCUACAGCAAAGGCGAUCCCUGCAGGCCAACCAAACUAGUAGUUCCACUUUGGGUGGCAGGAGACCCUGCCAAAGUGAUGAGGAACAGAAGGAAACUUGAGUGGAAGCAUUAAUAAGACAAGAAUAUAGAGAAUGCACAGAGAAUGUUCCAUUUGUAGCCAGUUUCCAGACAAGCUUAUCCUUCCUACUUCUGCAAAGAUUAACAGAAUUGAGAAGAGCCAAAAGCUGAUCCAAAGAGCCAUUUUCCCAAGUGAACAGUGACUUGCGCUAUAAUAGCCUCUACGUCCAGACGUCGUUUUGCCACAACCCCAUUUCACUAACAACUGCCUCCUGAUUUGAAGAAAUAGAGAAUAGUCGAGGAAAAGAGAAUUUUAGAGGUGCCUCACCUAUCCAUUUAUCAUGCCAGAAAUAUAUUUUUUCUCCAUUCCCUAACACGAAUAAUAUAUUAUCAAAGAUAUUAAAUCCAUUGAUAUUGAAUGCCAUGGAUUCCUAAAUGUUUUUCCAUACUGAAGAGAUUGGCCCACCAGUCACAAGUUGAAGGCCAGAGUCUUUAUGAAAAGAAUACUUAGAUUGCAAUGUAUUGACCCAAACUGCCUCAGGUUGCUGCUGUAAUCUCCAGAGCCAUUUAAAUAACAAGGAUUGGUUGUGGAGUAAAAUAUUUGAAAACCUAAUGCCCCAUUCUUUUUUGGUAGCAACAAAGUGUUCCGAUCAAUAAGAUGAAUUCUCCUUUCAUUCCCACCACCAGACCAGAGAAAGUUUCGCAUCAGUUUUUCAAUUUUCUUUAUAACUUUCUUGGGAAUCUUAAAUACCGAAAGGUAAUAAAUAGGCAGAUUUGACAGACACGAUUUGAUUAACGUUAUCUUACCUGCCAUGGAUAGAACUUUCCCUUUCCAGAAUGCAAGGUUACUUUCAAUUUUGCUGAUGAUGGGCUGCCAUGUGGAUGCUGGAUUUGCGUUUGCUCCUAGAGGGAACCCCAAAUAUUUGAUAGGAAGUGACCCAACUUGACAACCAGCUAUAUCCGCGGCCGUUUCUAGGACUUGUUCAUCCACAUUGAUUCCAAUGAGAAUGCUCUUACUAAAAUUAACUUUCAGACCUGAAAGGAGUUGAAACCAACGAAGUACUCGAGAGAUGGCAGCAAUUUAAAGAGGAUUUGGAGGGGAAAAGAGCAGCUUAUCAUCUGCAAAUUACUGGUGAGAAAUCAUCAACGCUUGGGAACCAACUAAAACUCCAUUGAGCCAUCCUUGGGAACAAGCUUCAUCAAUCAUUAAAGAGAGAGGCUCUGCAGCAAUAAUGAAUAACAAUGGCGAUAAGGGAUCGCCUUGCCGAAACCCAUUGCUGAUACAAAAUUCUUCUGUAGGGCGCCUAUUAAUUCGAAUGGUAUGCAAGCAUUUGAGAUGCAAGUGUGAAUCCACCUUCUCCAUUUAAUGCCAAAGCCCAU
rnacentral:misc_RNA from 1 species